GAAACAAAGACACCUACAUAUUGGAUGCCCUUGAGGAUCAGUGACCGCGGCUACAUUGCUGAUGUCAAACCCUUUAAUACGAAUGAGACAGCGAUGGAGCUCAAUGUCAACAGUGACCUGGAGCGAGGGAGGAGAAGGAGAGGUGGAGAAGAAGAAGAAGAAGAGGGGUAGCUAGGGAACCGAAUGAGUGAAGGAGAAAGACGGCGUUACAGAAAAACACCACCUCUGUCAUCUGCUCCCUUCACCCGACACCCUUGUUCUUGACUCGGGAUCGCCCUGAGGGUCGGCCGCCCGGUUCGCUUCGUCUCGCAGGAAAAUCCUCAAGCCUCUGCCUGGAAACAUCCAAGACAGAGAACAGAUGGCGCUGUGAUUUCUGACAAUUGUGAACAUGUUUUCCCCCCCAACUGCGUCUGUGUGUGUGUUUGUGCUCUUUUUGCUAUCCAGACCUCCGCUCCUGUAGACUAUACACCCUUGGGCCUACUUGCUGCUACGGGUCAGACCCAUAGAGUCAUCGUGGAUUAAAAGCACUGGGAAACGCGCCAUAGGUCCAUCACUCAACGCAUCGGAUCCAAACUAGCACAACGGGGUGUUGACAGAUCUCCUCUUUUAACGCUGAUCUCAGAGCGGUAUUCCAGAAGCUCUCAUUGUGAUGGGAAUUUGAAUGCAUGUGAGAGCGACUGCUCCGAAACCAGCAUAUGUGGGAGACUGAGCGUGAAACGGGACCGGCGGGACCCACGGGUCAGGGAUGAUGAUGAUGAUGAACUGGCGGAGCCCAACCCCACUGUUUGUCCUGAAAUGGCUCCAACAUAUAAAAGACCCUGCAGUAAAGGUGUGUGUGUGUGAGAGCUUUACUGUCCACAGGCUCGUACGGAAAGUAAAUCAGGGGCCUAUUGUACCGUAAAUGUCAUUGGCCCUGCCUCUCGUCUCCUGUCGCUGGCAGAGCGUUUUGUGGGUUAUGAGACUGGAUGGACACCAAUACUUUGCCUUAAAGGUGUCCAGAAGAGGCUGGAAGAGAAGAUGAACUGUGAAUUCGGGACUCUGUAUGUUUUACAAGACAGCAUCCAUGAGGAAAAUCAAUUAAGCUGAGUGGUAAACGUCAGUUAUUUCUGUAUAUUGUCUCUGGCACUAUUAGGACGUCCAACAUAUUUGAAGCAAAUUUGUGCCCUUUAGGGAGGCUUGUAAUAAGAGUUUUUACACAUUCUGAAGAAAGUGUUGGUGGUGCUUGCCUGUGGAAAACUCACCGCCACAAUGCUACCGUAUCAAUUAUCUGCCAAAAUUAGAGUAUUGUUUAUAAUAUUAAAGCAUA